rnacentral:lncRNA from 1 species
AGAAGAAGAAGAAGAAGAAGACUAUAAGAAGAAGAAGAAGAAGAAGAAGAAGAAGAAGAAGUAGAAGACUAGAAGAAGAAGAAGAAGAGGAAGGAGAAGAAGAAGAAGAAGAAGGAGAAGAAGAAGUAGACUAGAAUAAUAAUAAGAAGAAGAAUAAGAAGAAGAAGACUAGAAGAAGAAGAAGAAGAAGACUAGAAGAAGAAGAAGAAGAAGAAGAAGAAGAAGAAAAAGAAGAAGAAGAAGACUACAAGAGGAAGAAGAAGAAGAAGAAGAAGAAGAAGAC